AGGAGGGAGCGUGUGCGUGCUUUAUUGCCAGAUUUGUUCCCUUUAUAUAUCUUUUUAACAGCUGCGGGAAAUUACUCAAAAGUGAGGAGGGAAGAGUAAUAACUGCGUCCUUGGGUUACCGUCACGUCACCGUCCCCUAUCAGGAGGCUCGAACAGGUCAAGAUGUUCCCGAGACACAUAUGUGCGAGGCAGAUAAACAGGGAACUGCAAGCCCACGUCAUGGCCAUGUGAGCUGGCCACAUUGACAUGCAUAACAAAGAACUGGGGGUUGAGUCCCCAGGGGCCAGGGCGGGCCUGCUAUCAGCAAGUCCGCCUUUUUUGUUUUUUGCAUGUCAAUGGGAAUCAAGUAGCCCCUGUCUUAGGUCGUCUACCGCCCCUGCAAUGCUUACCCAUCUCUGGGGAGGCCCCAUUCCCCUGGCUUAGGUUGCAGUGCAAGCGUGGAAGUUGCCCGUCACUGGGUAAUACAAGAUCAGCUCUUGUCCUAUGUAAACGGACACUUUUCAGUUAGGAUGUCAUGGCCAGCAGGACACAACUGCGGAUCCCAGUCAUCAUCUUUGCCAGUGGGAUAGCUAUGACCAGGGAGCAUUCUGAACGUAAGGGUCUGGGAUGACGGCACCAAGUGGGCAGGGUAAUUAGGGACCUGGGCAAAAGCAGGCAUACAUAGGAGGGCUCGGGUAUUGGCUCCUGUCCAGUUACAUCUCAUCUCCGGAUGGGUCGUAAGUACACCUCGUGGGCUGAGUCGUCCAUCUCCAGGCGUUGGUAGUGAACCUGUAUUGGCUUGGAGGUUAAAAUGUUAAUCUGGUCCUUAAUGAAUUGAGUUAUCCUAUUUGCAACACAAGGUCCCAAGGUUGCAAUCAAAAGAAGACCUAGUAAGGGCCCCAGGAGGGGAAGAAGGUAGGGCAGGAACCCAUUCAUCCCAGUCCAAAGAGGGUUCUCAAAUAAUUCUUUUCUCCUUUUCUCUAGGUCUUCUUGAAGCUCCUUGAUUUUAGUGCGAACUAUGCCUGAUUUAUUGGCAUAGAAACAGCACCUUUCUCCUAAGGCUAAACAGAUUCCCCCCUGAUUGGCAGUCAGUAAGUCUAGGCCUCGCCUAUUUUGGAGGACCACUUCUGCCAAAGAGUCAAUUUGGUCUUGUAGGUCUUUAAUGGUGCCAGAUAGGGUCUGCACAUCAUCUAUAAGCUGUUGAGAUAGACGGCGAUAAGAAUGUAUAGCUGUACCCAGUCCAGCUGUGCCUGUGCCCACAGCAGCGGUUAUUCCAAGGCCAACAAGGAGUGGUAAGGCCUGAACAGCUCUCUUGUGUCUUCUAACUAGGGUGUCUAGGCUAGGAAUGGGUAGGGGUUCAUCUCCUGAGAUAAUUGUGAUAUCAGGAAGCAGUAAUGCCAGAAUGCAACCACCAGUCCAAUUUGCUGGGAGCCUGGGAAAAGCUAAAUUUCCACCACACAUAAAAACUGUACCAUUAGGGGGACAAAUGGGCGGAGUAGGUGAGGAGUAAUUCUUUACUAAUGAGCAGUUUCCAAAGGAAGAGAUUCCAACAUCAAC
rnacentral:lncRNA from 1 species